GGCUCUGCCUCUCCCUCAAACCUUGUCUCCUGUGUGUUUGGCUUUUGAAAAACAAACCCUGGACUUUGUGUUUCCCAUCUCGCCCAGUGUCAGAGAAACGUGGGCAGAAGGAGAGAACGGAGAAUGUUAGUGAAGAAAAAAAAAAACAAAAACCUGAGUGAACAGCACAGACUGUCACCCACCACAGUGGCUUGAGAAUCAUGCAUGGAGUGUCUUCUGGACCCUGAGGUGGCACACGUGGCUUCUCCUUUCUCACUGCCCUGGCUUAGGACUGCGGUCAGAUGCCCAGGUUCCAGCUGCCCUGUCUCACAUCAGAAAGCAUUGACAAUAACUUCACUCAUCUCUGCUGCUGCUGCUGCUAAGUCGCUUCAGUCGUGUCCGACUCUGUGCGACCCCAGAGACGGCAGCCCACCAGGCUCCCCCGUCCCUGGGAUUCUCCAGGCAAGAACACUGGAGUGGGUUGCCAUUUCCUUCUCCACUCAUCUCUAUCAACAUAAUUGAGAACUACCUGGUUUAGCGCUGCCACUGUCUUGACCUUGCCCAUGGAAAGCAGCAACUCCAGCAUUGCCCCCAUCAUGUCUAUUGCUGUGGGAACCUCCGUGGAUCUGGAACCCAGGCUGUAUGGUCAGGUCAGUCAAGAUGGCUGUUCUCUUGUUCUCUGUACAUCCCCUGAUGGACUGGUCCUUGCUCCACCUAUAUCCUACUCGCAUGACCGACCUUCCCUCUUAGUACGUACUUGCCC
rnacentral:lncRNA from 1 species